GGUACCCGGCACGGUCACACUGGCUGCACUGCUUCAACAUCAAAGUGUGAAAAUUUGUCAAAUAUUUGGACAAGUACAGCUAUCUAAUCGAUUUGGGAGCGAGUUUAGCCCUCGCAUCAAAACACCCAUUUGUUCCACCUGAUCCGGACAUGCAGAAAUCCACAGACCGGGUGCGGCGCCUCAAAAAACUGAAGAGCGUUACGGGGACGCAGGAUGGUGGCAGCGGCGAUGGUGGAGUGGCGGCGACGGCGGCGGAAAACCGGACGUCGGAAUCCUCGGACACAAACGGAGGAGCCGCCAGCGGAUCUUUCAAUUCGGAGAUCUUCAAGCAUUUUGACAAAUCCGGACGGAGCGAAUUCCUGAAGUACCUCAAGCAGCAGCUGCAGGAUGCGGCGGACAAUCCCGUCUACGACCGGAACGGCGUCUUCAAGCAGGGUGUCUCCAACGCCAUCUACGAGCUACUUUGGCAGGCCCUCAGAUUCACCCACAAAAAGGACUUGGUGCUCCAUCUGCUCAUGGAAGUCGUGGCACUUCACGCGGAGUUUCCCAGCCUUAUAUUGGACGUGAUCAACAUACUUGACAACGAAACCUCGCUUAUGACCGAGGGACUGCAUGAGGAGCGUCAUGCCUUCGUGCAACUAGUCAAAGACAUUGACAAGGUGGUUCCAGAAAGUCUGCUAAAGGAGCGAUUGGAUAUUGACACGCUGCAGGAGGUGGGCAUUGUCAAGCAUAAAAGCUUCUACUCCAAGUUCAUCAAGGUCAAAACCAAAUUGUACUACAAGCAGCGUCGUUUUAACCUUUUCCGCGAGGAGAGCGAGGGAUUUGCCAAGCUUAUUACAGAGCUAAAUCAGGAAUUUGAAGAAAACACCACGCCUGAGAGCAUUAUGGACAUUAUUAAAUCUCUAAUAGGCUGCUUCAAUCUGGAUCCGAAUCGCGUGCUGGACAUUAUUAUCGAGUCCUUCGAAACUCGCCCGGAUCGCUGGAACUUGUUCAUUCCCCUGCUGCGCAGCUAUAUGCCCACUGGUGCCAUUAUAUGCGAGGUCCUUGGAUAUAAGUUCUGCCACUUUAAGGGCUCCCGCACGCCCCGCUCUUUAUAUCAUGUCUGUGCCCUUUUGCUGAAGCACGGCGUCAUCGCGUUGAACGAUGUCUACGUCUGGUUGACCCCAAACGACGGGAGCAUCAAGGCGGACUGGGAGGAAGAGUUGGCAGAUGCCAGGGAAAUGGUGCGCAAACUUAACCUCAUCCAAACCAACAAGAAGGAAGACGAAAAGGACCCGCCACCACCGCCUACGGUUAAGAAGUUCAAUGAGGAAAAGUAUAAUGUCAAUCAAAAGUUCGGUCUUUGCGAAGCUUUACUCAAAGUGGGUGAUUGGGAGAAUGCCUACAAGAUUAUCCAAAAGCUUCCCGAGCAGGCGGUAGUUCUGCAAGAACCUAUCGCCCGUGCCAUUGCCGAACUCAUUCACCUGUCCGUGGAGAACAUCUACUACAAGAAGUGCUUCAAGGCUCCCGCCGGACGAAGACAGAGCCGAAAUCGCUUGUACGACGAUUCCAAGCUGGUAGCCAAGAUGCAGGCAAAGGAAUUCAGCGAUCUGAGGAAGUAUACCUGGCCAAUGGCUAAUGUCUUGGGACCUGCCAUGCACUACGACACUGUGCUGAUGUACAAGCUAAUCCGAAUUAUGCGGAAACUAGUUGUGGAGAUGGGCGUGGACAGUUUAAACGGACCUCCUCCAAAUUCGGAGGCGGAGCAGCAUUACUAUGACAUUAUGAGCUCGCUGGAUGCGUGCAUUUUACCCUCGCUUCUCUACCUGGACAACAACUGCUCCAUGUCGGAGGAGAUCUGGGCUGUGCUCAAAUAUUUCCCGUACCAUUUCCGCUACAGUUUGUAUGCGCGUUGGAAGAACGAUAGCUAUCAGCUGCAUCCAAAUUUAAUCAGACGCUGUGGACUGGCUCAGCGGGAUAUCAAGGCGCUGAUGAAGAGAGUGAGCAAGGAGAACGUUAAGCAACUGGGUCGCCUGGUGGGCAAGUACAGCCACUGUGCCCCAGGCCUGUUGUUUGACUAUAUUCUCUUGCAAAUCCAAAUUUAUGACAAUCUCAUCGGACCCGUCUGCGACAUGCUUAAGUAUCUUACUGCCCUGUCGUUUGAUUGCCUGGGAUACUGUAUCAUCGAAUCACUGACGUUGACGGGUCGUCUCAGGUUCAAGGAUGAUGGAACUUCUUUAUCCUUAUGGCUGCAAAGUCUGGCUUCGUUUUGCGGCACCAUCUACAAGAAGUACAGCAUCGAGCUGAGCGGUUUGCUGCAGUAUGUUGCCAAUCAGCUGAAGUCUCAGAAAAGCCUGGAUCUACUGAUCCUGCGGGAGAUCGUGCACAAAAUGGCGGGUGUGGAGUCCUGCGAGGAGAUGACGAAUGAUCAGCUGCAGGCCAUGUGCGGCGGCGAACAACUGAGGGGGGAGGCAGGCUAUUUUAGUCAAGUGAGGAAUACGAAAAAGUCUUCUAAUCGUCUAAAGGAGGCCUUGGCCAACAACGAUCUCGCCGUGGCCAUUUGCCUGCUUAUGGCCCAACAGAAGCACUGCGUCAUCUAUCGCGAAACGGCGGCGCACAGUCAUUUGAAGUUGGUGGGAAAUCUGUACGAUCAGUGCCAAGACACCCUCGUCCAGUUUGGUACCUUCCUGGGGUCAACCUAUUCGGUGGAUGAGUAUGUAGAGCGCCUGCCCUCGAUCAUAACUAUGCUGCGGGAAUACCACAUCAACACAGAUGUUGCCUUUUUCCUGGCCAGGCCCAUGUUUACACACCAAAUCAAUCAAAAAUAUGACCAAUUGCGUAAGGCUGAUCCCAACGCCAAGAAGCUGACCACGACGCAAAAGCUGCAAAAGUAUCUGGAGGCCACGCAGCUUAUCAUGAACCCGAUCGUGGAAUCCGUUCGCCCACUGCACAGCGCCAAGGUGUGGGAGGACAUCAGCCCGCAGUUUCUGGUAACUUUCUGGAGCCUAAGCAUGUACGAUUUGCACGUCCCGAACGAUAGUUAUCAGCGCGAGAUCGGCAAGCUCAAGCAGCUUGCCCAGCAGGCGGCCGAGGGCAAGGACUCCAACCAGUCAAAGAACAAGAAGGAGCAGGAGCGCUACAUCGCACUGAUGGAGAAGCUCAACGACGAGCGCAAGAAACAGCACGAGCACGUAGACAAGAUCUCGCAGCGGCUGCAAGAACAAAAGGAUAGUUGGUUCCUGCUUCGAUCUGCCAAGUCGGCCAAGAACGACACCAUCACGCAGUUCCUACAGCUCUGCCUCUUUCCGCGUUGCACCUUCACAGCUCUAGAUGCGCUGUACUGCGCCAAGUUCGUGCACGCCAUACACAACCUCAAGACUUCGAACUUUUCUACCUUGCUGUGCUAUGAUCGGAUCUUUUGUGACAUUACUUACUCGGUGACUUCGUGCACUGAAGGUGAGGCCACACGGUAUGGUCGCUUUCUGUGCGCCAUGCUGGAGACAGUGAUGCGCUGGCAUGCUGAUCAGGCCGUAUUCAACAAGGAGUGCGCCAACUACCCUGGUUUCGUGACUAAGUUCCGCGUGAGCAACCAGUUUUCGGAGGCCAACGAUCACGUUGGUUACGAGAACUAUCGCCAUGUGUGCCACAAGUGGCACUACAAGAUCACCAAGGCGAUCGUGUUCUGCUUGGAUUCCAAGGAUUUUAUGCAGAUCCGUAAUGCUCUAAUUAUCCUUAUGCGUAUCCUGCCCCACUAUCCGGUUCUUGCCAAGCUGGCGCAAAUAAUCGAGCGUAAGGUGGACAAGGUGCGCGAAGAGGAGAAGACAAAGCGACCGGAUCUGUAUGCCAUCGCCUCCAGCUACAUUGGUCAGCUUAAGCUGAAGACGCCUCAUAUGCUCAAGGAAAGCGACUUCCACCAGAUGGCCGAGCGGCCCAACAAGGAGGCGCCGACCACUCCUGGAGCGCCUGGAGUUACCACCAAGGUGGAAAAGAAUUCACCUACAUCUCCCUCCUCGCAGGAACGGGGAACGAAGGUCGUCGGCGCAGCUGCUCCCUUCUACAACAACGAACGAAAGUCAGGCACUAAGGAGCCGGAGGUGAAACCAGCUCCCCUCACGCGCAGUGCUUCAAAGAGCCAAAAAAGCGAUGGGACUAGCGUCACUAUGGUGUCCACAGCCACCGCAACCGCGACGACUUCCAACAGCGAUCGUGAGAGCAAGCCACGUGAUCCAAGAGAAUCCCAGUCUCGCAGCAAAGAUGACCAGCUCGAACAGACGAACAACGGUAGCAAUGGGAGCAGACCGAGUGAUCCCCGCAAUCGGGAUUCGGAGAGAGAAAGGCAGGAUCAGCACGAGCAGCGCCACGGAAGCAUUAGUAGCCAUCGCAGCUCCAGGGACACGGUGAGGGUCAAGGAGCGAACAGAAGCCGAGCAGCAUCAGCGGUCGAGAGAGCGCUCUCAACGACUGGAGGAAUUGGAGGCGCAGCAGCGGAAGCGCGAGAAGACCUCAAGACGUGGCGGCGACGAGCGAAAUCGGCACGGGGAUGGAGUCGAAACAGUGGAUCUGGUGGGCAGCACCGAUAAUCGCCACUACGAGGAGUUCGAGGGACGUAUGCGGGAUCGCGAUCUGAGCUCCGUGUCUAACGAGAGCAACGGUUCUAUGCAGCAUCGGCAACGUAGCCAUGAGACCAUUGAAUUCGAAAAAGAUUCAAAGCGUCGCAAGUUGGAGUCGUCAACCAGCAGUUCAAAGGUUAGUAGCAUAUGGUUGCAGACAUAAGUACGCUAAGACAACAACAAUAUAAAACACCCACGACUACGAUGACGAUCGAAUCUGGAGGGAAAAUACACGAAGUUCCGAUAUAAUCGAUUUGCAACAUCUACUCCUACUCCAAACUGCGACUCCAAAAUCAACGAAUCAACAACGAACCCACCACCCUAAAAAAUAUCAAAAAAAAAACUUAUGGUUGAUGUGGAUGCGAUGGAUCUCGUUUUCACCUACAAAAUUCCGUAUAUCUAAGUAAAAAUGUAGUAUACUCCUGGGUGUUAGUUUUAAACUAAGGCUAAGGUAUAAGCAAAAAGUUUAACUUUUUAGAACAAUGUGACAGGACCAUCAUUAAUUUACAAAGAAAUUUUUUUUAUAUUCAAGUUUGUUAAUUAAUUGUAUAAGUUUAAGAAUAGUUGUGUAAAUAACGAACCAAAUCGGAUUAUUGGGCUCAUGAAGACGACAAUCGAAAGCUAACAGACGAAUCUCGAUGAGAGCACGGAGGAAAACUACAGAAAAAUAAGGAUUACGAUGGAGGAAUUCGACAACUUGGAAAAAGAAGGAAAACAUCAUCGCCGAUUGCUCCUGCAACUGUAUCUACAUAAGGAAAAAAACUGAAAGUAUAUCAACAACAACAAUUUCAAUAACUUCAACUACCAAUACAUCACAACGAAAGUCAACGAUACAUUGUGAAAUAAUGGCAACUAAGUAGUUAAGCCCGAUCAAUUUUAAAAUACUCUGGACAGAAAUGAUCUUUAAAAAGCUUACCAAUAAGAAAACUGGAAAAGUGUGCAUAAAUUAGCAUCGCAUCUCUAAUUUAUAAAAAAAAACCAACCAUGCCGAUCCUAUUUAAAUCAUUCAAAGUGGAUAUUCAAGACUUCUCGAACUUUUGCACUUCGUGAGAACAACAUGUGAAUCGAUCUUUCAACUUCAUAAAUCGAAAUUGUCAAACUACAUUUAUUGUAUGGAACCUGAAAAAAUGCAACUACACUAACUACUACCGGCUUAAUUUUCCCUGGAUCUAAUAACACCAUUCAAUUAACUGGAGUUCCAAGUAUUGGACAAAUUUUGGAUAACCUACUUCCACAUUCCCGAAUCAUCAAACUAAAAACUCCGAAACAUGAAUUCUCAACAUUAAUUAAAAUGGAUAUGGAGGCCAUCUUUAUAUCAGCUAAUUCCAUCUUAAAAGCCUAUCGUGGAUCGCCCCUACAUUUUCACUGUGGAACUCUUGCGGCCAAUCUUUGUAAACAAUCCUUCAACAUUGGCUUUCUGGGAGGCCUUAGACCCUGAAGCAUCCUAGUGGAUCUCCGACACUGCCGCGACUCUGAUUAUCAUCUACCUGCAGUUACCUGUGCAGCCCAGUUUAGUUGUUAAUUCGUUGAUGUUGAGACUGUGCACGGAAGGUGGAGGAACUAGUGGACAGCGUGAAGAAGGCGCGCGGCCUCAAGACCAAAGAGCGCAACAAGGACAAGCUGUCGGAUGAGGAGCGCGACGCCCGCAAGGAUCGCAAGCUGG